rnacentral:rRNA from 1 species
UACAGAGGAUGCAAGCGUUAUCCGGAAUGAUUGGGCGUAAAGCGUCUGUAGGUGGCUUUUUAAGUCCGCCGUCAAAUCCCAGGGCUCAACUCUGGACAGGCGGUGGAAACUACCAAGCUGGAGUACGGUAGGGGCAGAGGGAAUUUCCGGUGGAGCGGUGAAAUGCGUAGAGAUGCGGAGGAACACCGAUGGCGAAGGCAGCCCCCUGGGCUAGCACUGACGCUCAGGCACGAAAGCGUGGGGAGCAAACAGG